rnacentral:snRNA from 1 species
GGAUGUGACAGAGAUCUGGCUGCGACAUCUGUCACCCCAUUGAUCGCCAGGGUUGAUUUGCUGAUGUGGGGUCCCUUUCCUCCUUCAAUGCUCAAGUGUGUCCCUCCUGAAGUUGUGCUGGAGGACUGGUCUUGGGUCAACGGUGUAUGAGUAGCUGUGCUCCUCUGUUAGAACCUCCAAAUGAGCGCUAAGAUAUUGCAGACAAAAUGUGGAAUCUCAUUUAACUAUUUUUAAAUGUCACAGUGUGCUUAUUC